GUAAUGAUUUCUACAAGGCUGUUGCAGAUUGUCAGGAUGUCAGCAUUAACAAGACCAUUUUCGUAAUUCAUAUUAGUGAAGUGAGCUCGCUUGAUAGCGUACAGGCGUGCAUUGCUGGCUUUCAAUUCAUUUUUGUCACCCACAGUAACUUCAAAGAACCUCAGGUAUUCUUUUUGAAUGUUGUCAUCAAGGUGGUAUGGCAAUUCAGUUAUCAAGUUUUGAACAACAUUCACAAUGUCGUGAAGUGGCUCACAGUUGG
rnacentral:lncRNA from 1 species